AACGAACGCUGGCGGCGUGCCUAACACAUGCAAGUCGCGCGAGAAAGCGGGGGCAACUCCGUGAGUAAAGCGGCGCACGGGUGAGUAAUACGUAGGUAACCUACCUCCGAGACCGGGACAACCUUCCGAAAGGAGGGCUAAUACUGGAUGAGACCACGGGACCUCGGUUCCGCGGUCAAAGGUGGCCACUACUUGUAAGCUACCACUCAGCGAUGGGCCUGCGCACCAUUAGAUAGUUGGCGAGGGAACGGCUCACCAAGGCGAAGAUGGUUAGCUGAUCUGAGAGGAUGAUCAGCCACACUGGGACUGAGACACGGCCCAGACUCCUACGGGAGGCAGCAGUGGGGAAUCUUGGACAAUGGGGGAAACCCUGAUCCAGCGACGCCGCGUGGGUGAUGAAGGCCUUCGGGUCGUAAAGCCCUGUCGGGGGGGAAGAAACUCCUGCCGGUGAACAAUCGGCGAGAUUGACGGUACCCCCUAAGGAAGCACCGGCUAACUCCGUGCCAGCCGCCGCGGUAAUAC
rnacentral:rRNA from 1 species